AUUAGAAAAAUGUGCACUUUCUUAAUUUAUUUUUUUUUUUUUCAGGUUGACUGAAAACUUGGUGUGAAAAUGAUCAACUGCAACAGCACCUGUGCAGUAAUUAUGAAACAUGCUUUUUCACCUUUAGGUCACAUUACAGCUACUGCCUUGUGCACCAUAGUUCAGGAGCAUGAGAUAGCACAGAUUUGCCAGCUGUAGGACAGUUGGUGGCUGUGCCCUUCAGACAAUGCACUGAUGGUCCAGAGCACAGCAUAAAUUAUCCAGGAAGAGGAAUGCCAUUGUCAACUCUGCCUGAGUAGCUGGAAGUCCUAAGGUUCCUUUUCUGCAAAAUACAGGUGGAUGCUGCUAAACUCUUUUCUCAGGUACCCUGUGAUCAAAGGCUUUUAUUAGAAAAACCGGACAAGUGAAAGUGAAGAAUUCACUGUAGAACGCCUUAAGUUUCUAAAAGGAAGAAAAUGAUAAAUCAAGUCUAAAUCAAGAUUCUCCUGAGGAUCUACACUCACUGACACACUUUAUCUCUGCAUCCUGCUGGAUUCCUAAGCGUCAGCAUUCAUUUAAUUUGGCUGAACAGCAUGGAAAAGUUUGAAGUAUCUUUAUUUACGUUAUGCAAUAAAAUUUCUAUUGUUUAAGAAAAUAACAAACGAGAAAAAACAAAGAAAAUAUGAAUAUUUAUAAAAAUACAUCAUAAAGACAUAAACAGCACAGAAAAAUGAAUAAGCUAUUGUGUUUCUAAACAGAGAAAGUAUCUAAGGCAUGCUAGAUGACCUUUUUUUGAUAAUGAUAAUUGGUUGUUCAAAAUAUGUUCAUUUUGUAAGACGUGUUUCUAAGGCUAAGUUGCAUGUAUAAAUUGUGUUUAUGCAGGCAAUGCAAAAAUUUCAGUUUUCAAUUAAUUUUCUAAUUUCCACUUCUAACUUAAGGUGUUUGUCACAAUACUCCGGGUACUAGAUACUUAGCUUUUCAGGCAUGUUAAGAUUUUGCUGUAGGAUUCUUAUUGUUUCAAUAUUCUUUAUAUGGGGCCACUUUUAGCAGGGUAAUUUUAGACAAGCUUCAGUUCAGAAAAGUACACACAUUUAAUUUCUCUAUGGGGUGGCUGAGGUAUGUACACACAUACUGACCUAGAUUUUAGAAUUACUAGAUCAGUUUUCUUAAACACGCUAAUUUAUAACUCUUGAAAAUAACUGUUUCAAAUUGGUCAAUUUUCAAUGUGUGCGCUUAUACACAUAAAGAAUUCAUAAUGCUGUACAUGUUAUUGUCACAUAGUGCCCCUUCAUUUAAAGCUUCUUCCCAGUUGACAUGAUGCCAGUAUAAUCUAGUAAGUGAUAACAUGGUGUUUCCUGCUGCUUCCCCAUAUUCUCUUAAAUUUUACAUAUCAUUUGUUAUUUUGAAGGGUUUUCUGAAAAAUAAUAAUUCACGGCUAUUUUGUAUCCUAAAGAAGUGAUUGAUAUUUACACUACAAACCACAUUAUCUAUGGGUGUUUUGCAGUAAAUAAAAUAUAAUCAUUUAUAAUCAUACCACCUUGCCAUUUUUAAUUCAUGACAUGAGGUUUACUGUAAGAAUCAUUACCAAUAGUAAUUGGCAUUUGAUUUUAUACAAAGAGUAAAAGGCUAAAUUAGUACUGCUAUGGUUCAAUUUUGUAUACCAUGAAAUGAAUGUAUAGAAGCUGUUUAAAGCUAUAUUUUUAUUAAUUAUAUUGUUUAUUAAUUAUAUUAUAUUUAUUAAUAACUAAGCAGUGGUAUUGAGGUAACAUUAUUUUUGUAUUCACUCAAAAAAUUAAAACCAAACUUUAGAUCUCGUCAUGUAAUGCAUGACCUAUCAUAAUCACUGAUCUGCACAUUGCAUCAGAAGUGCUUCAAAAGAAUCCUCCAUUUUGCUUAAGAAUCAUGACACUGAAGCACAGCUGAACUACUUAUCUCCUUCAUAAAAGAUAAACCACUCAGACUGUUGACUAUAUCCCUAUUUUAAAUGGAUUCCAGAUGUCUCCAUGCAGUGGAAAGAACUCAACAGUUCACAUGAGACGUAUAUUUCAUUAUAUUAGGAGUCUAAAGAAGGAUAUUUUCUCAUUAAAUACUUAUUUUCCUCUUGUUAAUAAAAAACCCUGUUCUUCUUAAAAUAUCAACAACGACCAUCUGUAUGUGUUGCUUGUAGAUUGGUGUGAGGACUGAGUGUGAUCUAUCAUGUUUCUUUUGUUUCUGUGCCACUAUUUUUCUUCUGAAGUGGAAACAUAAAAAAAAUAUGAAUGGCUCCUAAUUUAAUAAAAAACACUGAGUAGAAUCCAAGCUUUGAAUUACUCUAUGCAUAGUUUUGCUCACUACAUCUUGCUACCUAUCAUAUUUUCUGUACAGAACAACAUAUUUUUAAAACAGAAGCUUUGUCUUUACAAUGCCACUUUCCAUAUUCUGGUAUGCAUCUCUCACAUCUCCUUUUUCUGGAUCUCGAAAGUUUAGACUGCUGCCUCUUGGUUCUUACAUCUUGUUUUAUUGCAAUUGAUACACUGUACCUGCCUCAAGUUUCACUCUUCCACACUGCUGAAAUUCUUUCCCAAUGAUGUUAAUAAUGUAAUUGCCAUUAAUUUCAAUAUAUUGGGAUUUCAUUUUGCCUAAAAGACAAAACAUCAGUAUCAAAUGAUGUUUGGCGUUCAGAUUGAUUCAAUUUGAAGAGUCCAGAUUCUCAGUACUUUCUGAAACUUUGGCUUGUUUUAUGUGCCUUGGCGUGUGAUACGUGAGAACAGGGAUCAUUCUUCAGAAGACCUAGAGACUGCAAUCUCUCAGCAUGACCACUCUGGUUCAAAAGGGCCAAGGUCUUGCUCUAGUUCCAUAGCCCCUCCUGGCUAGUGAAUAAUGCUCUUCCACUAAUGCCUGCACAGGUUUUAUUUGUGUGCCACAAAACAAAAACAAGUUUUCCUAUGUUUUACUUUCCUAUGGAACGUAUAUGUAAGUCUUACCAUCUAACAGAAGAUGUCUGCUUUUUUCUCCUCAAUGACAUAGUGGGAGAAACUGACUGGAUAUAUUUUAAUUAAGAUUAAGAUAACUAAUUGAGGGUUCCAGCCAACUCAGUGCUAAAAAUAUACCAUUUUUUAUACCGAAUAUUCUUUAAUAUGACAUCAGUGUACCCUGGAACUGGUAAAGUCUCUUUAGUAUAAUUACUGACUUUGAAUAGGGUUGUGCUGAAAACUUCUCGAAUGCUUUUCAGCCUGUCUGUAGUAUAUUCAUUGAAAAGUGAAACAUAACAUGAGGUAAAUUGUAAAAGAGCAUUGUAUGCAAUCUGCUUAGAAUAACUCCCACCUAACACCAAACACCAGAAUGUUCCUUCCAAUUAAUACCCGUCAAAGACAUUUUUUAAGCAAUAUCAUAUGGUAAACUUUAUGUAGAGCAAGUAUUACAGCAUUAAUCUCCGUAGCCAGGAAGUAUUAUACAACAUGUUUCCUAUCAAAAGGAAAUCUUAAUGUGCUUAAAAAUUUUGCAGAACUCCUACACAUUCUCAAACAAACUAAGCCAAAAAUGACAAGCAGUGCUUUUAAUGAAAGCAUUGUUAAACAGCUGAAGUUCGUGCAUCUGAAUUUUUAAAGGUAUUACAUGAAAAGUUCAAGUGGUUUGCAUACAACGACAGUUAAAGAAAAUAACCAACAAAAAAGAGAUUUGAAUUUAGAAGAAAAGUAAACUUUAAAAGGCCUAAUCUAAAGACAGAGAUCCUGAUUAUUUAUGUUACUGUUAUAGUUUGAGCGACCAAAAUACCUGAUUAAAUCAUAGGAGAUAAGCUAUGCUACGUGUUAUGAAAGAAAAUAAUUCCAAUCAUAUUCUAUGCAGUUAAUGCAAAGAAAAAAUAGAGUAAUCAGCUAAAUUAGAACAUAUUUAUCUUCAUGUAUAUAAUUGUAGAAAAUGCCUUAGGCUGCCUUCAAUUAGUCAUGCUCACUAUAGAAGUCUGGAAAUGACAAGAUCCCUUGACAAUUCUAAAACGAUGUAGUUAUACCCAAUAGAAGAGCAAUCUCAAAACAGAUUUGAUCUCGUAGCCCUUUCUGAAACAAGGAAUGCAUUUCCAUGAACAAUUCUUCAGUGCUCUACUUACCUGGUCUUACUAGAAUGCUUCCCGUAAACAGCACCUGACUUUAAAAGUUGCUUAGCAUCUGUAACCUCAGACAAGAACUGCAGGAAAAAUAAAGCUGUAUAAUUUUACCAUUUGGUAUGAAGACAGCAAGUCACUUAAUGCUUCUGUGCCACAAACAAAAUGUUUGUAAAUUUCAAAUACGCACCCAUAGCAUCAGUGUAUGGAUGUGAUAUUCUUGAGAGUAAAACAAGUGAGAUGCUCCUUCAACACAAUAGCUUGUAUAUUGAAUCAUUAUAUACUGGAUAGAAUAGUACACCAGGAAAAUAGAUCUUUU